rnacentral:lncRNA from 1 species
GGAAUUGCUGAAGUUGUGAAGGUUGAUGCUGUGAAUGCGCUCGGUCAUCCCCUUGCAACUGAUGUCACCUGCAGCAUGUCAACGCAGACACAAAACAGGGCAUGGGUCAGAUCUAGCUGGUUGCAUUCCUAACACCUAGGUUUCAGAGUAAAAAUACAGAGUCAGCUUGUGAUGGCAUUCCCUCAAAACAUGGAAGGAAUUGCAGUAAUGAAAGUCAUCAUGUAUUCUAAGAGACUGUUCUGCGAGAGCACAACACAGACGGGGCUAAAGCAGGGUGAGAAGCAAAAGUGCUCAGGAGUUAAGAGAAGCAGACGUCCGAAAUUAUCUCCAUGCAUUACCAAAAACCGUGGGCACCACGGCACGGGGAAAACUUACCAGGUACAAUGAGCCAGUGACUGUUACUGAAUUUCUUAAGAUUACACUUUUCCCAACUACUGCAGACUGCUUCAGAAUAGAAGAAGACAACUCUCAUGCCAUCAAGCCGACGGACUUUCAAAAAAAUAAAAGAUGCAUUUCUUUACUUGUAAGUAUUUGUCUUUGCAAAGGGCUCUCUGAUAUGGUAGCACAGAAGUUUGCACAUUCUAAGGAUCUGAUGUUUUGCCCUCUUCGGGUAUCCCGGCUGGAAGGAGCUACGGUGAAAGGGCACCUAAGGUGAAUGGACAGAUUGUAGAUGGGUGCACACAGGAAAAUGUACAGCUCCUACAAUGUAUUCUGAGCUUUACUAAGGGAAUUAAUUAUCUGGAAGAACAGGAACAUACAGGCCCAUGAGAAGUAAAAGCAGGCACUGGCAUUCUGCACAGAUGAAAUACUUCCUACGACAGGAAUACAUGCUCACUUGUGGACUUCUCUGUAAUCUGUAGGCAACAUCAGCUCCUGAUUUCUAGGUCUGGAUCUGGGUUCUCUGUAGCACAGGAAGGUCUCUACUUCUCCUACAUAAAUGCCUUGCAUGGCGGGAACUAAAUCAACUACACAGACCCAUACAUCCAGAGAGCAGAGGUGAGCUGGAUACAAGUGGCUUAGAGAUGUGGUGGAAGGAGGCCAGAGCUCCAAGGGAAGGGCAGCAAGGAGACAACAGCAUGGGUUGCAGCUCAGACAACAGGUAAAUAAAACCAAGCAAAGCUGCUGGUCACAGAUUUGACCAGGGUGGCAAGAAAUGACAAGCUACCAUGAGAUUCAACAGUGGCACGGAAGGAUGAUGAGAAGCAAACAGAUUAGGAGAAGCUGCCACCACCGUACAUAGAGGCACAGAUGACCAAGCAGAACAGCACCAGUCCCUGCAAGGUGUGCUCAGAUACAGCUCAGCACAGCCAUCUGGCCAGGAGGGAAUGAUAAUGCACAUGGUGUGCACUGCAGCCGGGAAGUUGAGAACCGCUGUGGGCACCUCAGGACUGAGUCUGGUUACCCUGCUGAUCCAAGAAAUGAAGCCAUCUAAAAUUUUGCCUGCUUUCACAAUUUUCUGUGUGUGUGUGUGUGUAUUAAACAAAGUGAACUAAGAAGCC